CCCUUAGAUGUUCUGGGCUGCACGCGCGCUACACUGAUGCGCUCAACGAGUUUUAACCUUGCCUGGAAAGGUUGGGUAAUCUUUUUAAAACGCAUCGUGAUGGGGAUAGAUUAUUGCAAUUAUUAAUCUUCAACGAGGAAUUCCUAGUAAGCGCGAGUCAUCAGCUCGUGCUGAUUACGUCCCUGCCCUUUGUACACACCGCCCGUCGCACCUACCGAUUGAAUGGUCCGGUGAACCCUCCGGAUCGGCCCGCGCCAACGCAAGUUGAGCAAAGGCCGAGAAGUUGGGUAAACCUUACCAUUUAGAGGAAGGUGAANUCGUANCA
rnacentral:rRNA from 1 species